CGGGGUGCAGCAGGCGCGAAAACUUUACAAUGCCGGCAACGGCGAUAAGGGAACCUCGAGUGCCAGGUUACAAAUCUGGCUGUCGUGAUGCCUAAAAAGCAUUGCAUAGCAAGGGCCGGGCAAGACCGGUGCCAGCCGCCGCGGUAACACCGGCGGCUCGAGUGGUAACCGUUAUUAUUGGGUCUAAAGGGUCUGUAGCCGGCCGGGUAAGUCUCUUGGGAAAUCUGGCAGCUUAACUGUCAGGCUUUCAGGAGAUACUGCCUGGCUCGAGGCCGGGAGAGGUGAGAGGUACUUCAGGGGUAGGGGUGAAAUCUUGUAAUCCUUGAAGGACCACCAGUGGCGAAGGCGUCUCACCAGAACGGACCUGACGGCAAGGGACGAAAGCUAGGGGCACGAACCGGAUUAGAUACCCGGGUAGUCCUAGCCGUAAACGAUACUCGCUAGGUGUCGGCCACGGUGCGACCGUGGUCGGUGCCGUAGGGAAGCCGUGAAGCGAGCCACCUGGGAAGUACGGCCGCAAGGCUGAAACUUAAAGGAA
rnacentral:rRNA from 1 species